rnacentral:rRNA from 1 species
GGGCCCGCACAAGCGGUGGAGUAUGUGGUUUAAUUCGAUGCAACGCGAAGAACCUUACCUACUCUUGACAUCCAUAGAACUUUCCAGAGAUGGAUUGGUGCCUUCGGGAACUAUGAGACAGGUGCUGCAUGGCUGUCGUCAGCUCGUGUUGUGAAAUGUUGGGUUAAGUCCCGCAACGAGCGCAACCCUUAUCCUUGUUUGCCAGCACUUCGGGUGGGAACUCCAGGGAGACUGCCGGUGAUAAACCGGAGGAAGGUGGGGACGACGUCAAGUCAUCAUGGCCCUUACGAGUAGGGCUACACACGUGCUACAAUGGCGCAUACAGAGGGCGGCCAACUUGCAAAAGUGAGCGAAUCCCAAAAAGUGCGUCGUAGUCCGGAUUGGAGUCUGCAACUCGACUCCAUGAAGUCGGAAUCGCUAGUAAUCGU